rnacentral:rRNA from 1 species
UACGUAGGGUGCGAGCGUUAAGCGGAAUUACUGGGCGUAAAGCGUGCGCAGGCGGCUUGCCAAGUCAGAUGUGAAAGCCCCGGGCUUAACCUGGGAAUGGCGUUUGAAACUGGCAGGCUAGAGUUUGGCAGAGGGGGGUGGAAUUCCACGUGUAGCAGUGAAAUGCGUAGAGAUGUGGAGGAACACCGAUGGCGAAGGCAGCCCCCUGGGCCAAAACUGACGCUCAGGCACGAAAGCGUGGGGAGCAAACAGG